UACGGAGGGUGCGAGCGUUGUCCGGAAUCAUUGGGCGUAAAGGGCGCGUAGGCGGCGCGGUAAGUCAUCGGUGAAAGUUCAGGGCUCAACUCUGAAUCGGCCGGUGAUACUCUCGUGCUUGAGCACUGUAGAGGCAGGUGGAAUUCCGGGUGUAGCGGUGGAAUGCGUAGAGAUCCGGAAGAACACCGGUGGCGAAGGCGGCCUGCUGGGCAGUAGCUGACGCUGAUGCGCGAAAGCGUGGGGAGCAAACAGG
rnacentral:rRNA from 1 species